AACGAACGCUGGCGGCAUGCCUAACACAUGCAAGUCGAACGAUCCCUUCGGGGAUAGUGGCGCACGGGUGCGUAACGCGUGGGAGCCUGCCCUUAGGUUCGGAAUAACUCAGAGAAAUUUGAGCUAAUACCGGAUAAUGUCUUCGGACCAAAGAUUUAUCGCCUUUGGAUGGGCCCGCGUUGGAUUAGCUAGUUGGUGGGGUAAAGGCCUACCAAGGCGACGAUCCAUAGCUGGUCUGAGAGGAUGAUCAGCCACACUGGGACUGAGACACGGCCCAGACUCCUACGGGAGGCAGCAGUGGGGAAUAUUGGACAAUGGGCGAAAGCCUGAUCCAGCAAUGCCGCGUGAGUGAUGAAGGCCUUAGGGUUGUAAAGCUCUUUUACCCGGGAUGAUAAUGACAGUACCGGGAGAAUAAGCCCCGGCUAACUCCGU
rnacentral:rRNA from 1 species